UACGUAGGGUGCAAGCGUUGUCCGGAAUUAUUGGGCGUAAAGAGCUCGUAGGCGGUUCGUCGCGUCGGCUGUGAAAACCCGGAGCUCAACUCCGGGCCUGCAGUCGAUACGGGCGGACUAGAGUUUGGCAGGGGAGACUGGAAUUCCUGGUGUAGCGGUGAAAUGCGCAGAUAUCAGGAGGAACACCGGUGGCGAAGGCGGGUCUCUGGGCCGAUACUGACGCUGAGGAGCGAAAGCGUGGGGAGCGAACAGG
rnacentral:rRNA from 1 species